rnacentral:rRNA from 1 species
UACGUAGGAGACGAGCGUUGUCCGGAGUUACUGGGCGUAAAGCGUGCGCAGGCGGCUAUGCAAGACAGAUGUGAAAUCCCCGGGCUCAACCUGGGAACUGCAUUUGUGACUGCAUAGCUAGAGUACGGUAGAGGGGGAUGGAAUUCCGCGUGUAGCAGUGAAAUGCGUAGAUAUGCGGAGGAACACCGAUGGCGAAGGCGGUUCUCUGGGCAUUACCUGACGGCUGAGGAGCGAAAGUGUGGGGAGCGAACAGG